CUUGUGGCUAUAACUGAUGUUAUGUCUGACAGUCUCGGUUUUUUUUUAAAUUAUUAACUGCACUAAUAUAGCAGGUUGUUCUCGUGCUUGGACCCUGAUUCUGUGUGGUAGUGGACCACACUCCUCGAUGUGGUGGUGAGUGUGCCUGCCGUAACUUGGCAUGUUUUGCUGGUAUCUGAAAGGAUGAAUUGGGUUCUUCCAAUUAUACUUCUGGACUGGACGACAUCUGUCGGAUGGCAUAGUCACCAAAGCACUCAUCAGGCAAAUUGACAUUUCACUACUGGGAAAUGCCAUAAUGUGGUUUUAACAGUUUUUCUAAUAUUGAAGGUCUUGACAUGUGGAUGUCAUCUGAACUAAACAGGUAUUCUGUCAGUGUUGGGAGGACCACAUCAUGAGUCUUUGCAGGCAUGAUCUAGAGGACAUGCUUUACCAAGGCUGUGCAAAGUGAUGCCAGCCUUUCUUUUGACACUCCUGCCUCAUGGUACAGAAGUGCAUAUCAUGGGUACCCUGGUUCCCAAUGGACUGCAGAGGCCUAGAUCUUCACGGAUUGAACAUGGCUCCAUGUGGAAUUGGACCACACAUCUGAAGGUGGGUUAAUCUGACCUGAGGAUGCAGUCUAAACUGAUGUGUGUGAUGGCUGCCAGCAGUUUUGUCAAGUUCAUAAGUCCUGUGGUUGUAAGGUUGUCUAAGCCUUUCAGAGGCCUACAUGAAGAUGUGCUUCAUGAGCAUCAAGUUAUGUGAAGACCACAUCACAAGGUUUUACAAGCAUGAGCCCCAACUCUGCACGGAUGGAAGCAGUCCUCAGAAUGUGCAGAAUGGUUCCUUGGGCCUCCUCCCCAGUGUCCUCAUGGUUUAGCUGACGUGCUGCACUGAAGACACUUUCCAGGCUCUCUUCCUCCAUAUGCUGAUUAGCCUGUGGCAGCUGUCCCGGCCUGAGAGGUUUGUGAAAAUACACAAGCUGUAGCUGAAGAAUGAUCUGAUCCUGUUGCCGUCUCAGUCUGAUGGAUGAAAUGAAUCUAUACGCUGGAGGGUUGUCCACGGCUUGGUGCAGUUGCCUGCCACCUGCUUCACUCCAGAACGCUGAAGCUCCUGCUACUGAAACAAAGAUGGCGUGGUUCUUCACUUACUGGUUAAGCGGUGUGGUUUUUGUACUGUGAUUGUCGUCUUGUCUGUGAAAUAAAA